rnacentral:rRNA from 1 species
UCAAUAAGCGGAGGAAAAGAAACUAACAAGGAUUCCCCUAGUAACGGCGAGUGAAGAGGGAAGAGCCCAAGAUUGAAAGCUGGCGUCUUCGGCGUCCGCAUUGUAAUCUCAAGAAGUGUUUUCCGCUUCGGACCAAGCCCAAGUCCCUUGGAAAAGGGCAUCAUAGAGGGUGAUAAUCCCGUACCUGGCUUGGAGCGCCCGAAGCUUUGUGAUACGCUUUCUAAGAGUCGAGUUGUUUGGGAAUGCAGCUCAAAAUGGGUGGUAAAUGCCAUCUAAGGCUAAAUAUUGGGGAGAGACCGAUAGCGAACAAGUACAGUGAUGGAAAGAUGAAAAGAACUUUGAAAAGAGAGUUAAACAGUACGUGAAAUUGCCAAAAGGGAAGGGUAGGAGGUCAGAGAUGCGGCCUGGGAUUCAGCCUUGCUUUUGCUUGGUGUUUUUCCCAGAUUGCAGGCCAACGUCGGUUUUGGGCACUGGAGAAGGGUAGGAGGAACGUGGCACCCCUCGGGGUGUGUUAUAGCCUCUUACUGGAUACAGCGACCGAGACCGAGGACAGCAGCGUACUCGCAAGAGCGGGCCUUCGGGCACCUUUACGCUUAGGGCGUUGGCAUAAUGGCCCUCUACCACCCGUCUUGAAACA